CGGGAAGUGGCGCAGCUUGGUAGCGCACCUGCUUUGGGAGCAGGGGGUCGCAGGUUCAAAUCCUGUCUUCCCGACCA
rnacentral:tRNA from 6 species